CGCCAACCAGCUAGCCCAACCAUAAUAAAAACAACAACCAAAUAUUCAUAACCCCAAACACACAACUCCUCCUAUUUUAACAAACCAUUUUACCUCCUUAGUACGGGCGACGGAAAAGGAACUAUUGGAGCAAUAGAGAAAGUACCGCAAGGGAACGCUGAAAGAGAAAUGAAAUAACUCAGUGAAGCUUAAAAAAGCAGAGAUUCUACCUCGUACCUUUUGCAUCAUGAUUUAGCUAGAACUACCCAAGCAAAGAGCACUUUAGUUUGGGCCCCCGAAACUACGUGAGCUACUCCAAGACAGCCUAUUAAUAGGGCAAACCCGUCUCUGUGGCAAAAGAGUGGGAAGAGCUUUGAGUAGAGGUGACAGACCUACCGAACCUAGUUAUAGCUGGUUGCCUGAGAAAUGGAUAGGAGUUCAGCCUCCCGGUUUCUCCCUUCACCACGGUCAUACCCCUACCGAUACCAAAGAAGCCGAGAGAGUUAAUCAAAGGGGGUACAGCCCCUUUGAGACAAGACACAACUUUCCCAGGAGGGUAAAGAUCAUAAUUAUUUAAGGUAAUAAUGCCUUGGUGGGCCUAAAAGCAGCCAUCCAAAUAGAAAGCGUUAAAGCUCAAGCAUUAAACCUCACCCAUAUAUUCAGAUAACCAAAUCCCAACCCCCUAAUACUAUCAGGCUAUCUCAUGCCAACAUGAGAGAGCACAUGCUAAUAUGAGUAAUAAGAGAGCAUAGCCUCUCUCCUUGCACACGUGUAAAUCGGAACGAACCCCCACCGAAACUUAACGGCCCCAAACAAAGAGGGAAUUGAACAACAAGUAAGAAACAAGAAAAUCAUCCAAAAAACAACCGUUAACCCCACACUGGUGUGCCCCUAAGGAAAGACUAAAAGAAAAAGAAGGAACUCGGCAAACACCACAAGCCUCGCCUGUUUACCAAAAACAUCGCCUCUUGCAAAAAUGUAAGAAUAAGAGGUCCAGCCUGCCCUGUGACUAUAUGUUUAACGGCCGCGGUAUUUUAACCGUGCGAAGGUAGCGCAAUCACUUGUCUUUUAAAUGGAGACCUGUAUGAAUGGCAUAACGAGGGCUUAACUGUCUCCUUUUUCAAGUCAAUGAAAUUGAUCUCUCCGUGCAGAAGCGGGGAUAUAACCAUAAGACGAGAAGACCCUAUGGAGCUUUAGACACCAAGGCAUAUCAUGCUAAACAACCCAAACCAAAGGGCCAAGCCAAAUGAACCAUGCCCGUAUGUCUUUGGUUGGGGCGACCGCGGGGAAAUAAAAAACCCCCACGUGGAAUGGGAGCACUAUCUCCUACAACCAAGAGCUGCAGCUCUAAUAAGCAGAAUUUCUGACCAAAAAGAUCCGGCAACGCCGAUCAACGGACCGAGUUACCCUAGGGAUAACAGCGCAAUCCCCUUUUAGAGCCCAUAUCGACAAGGGGGUUUACGACCUCGAUGUUGGAUCAGGACAUCCUAAUGGUGCAGCCGCUAUUAAGGGUUCGUUUGUUCAACGAUUAAAGUCCUACGUGAUCUGAGUUCAGACCGGAGUAAUCCAGGUCAGUUUCUAUCUAUGAUAUGUUCUUUUCUAGUACGAAAGGACCGAAAAGAAGAGGCCAAUACUUAAAGCACGCCUCACCCCUCCUAAUGAAAACAACUAAAAUAGGCAAAAGGGCAUAACCCUCACGCCAGAAAUAAUGGCAU
rnacentral:rRNA from 1 species